rnacentral:rRNA from 1 species
AGUAGGGAAUCUUCCGCAAUGGACGAAAGUCUGACGGAGCAACGCCGCGUGAGCGAAGAAGGUCUUCGGAUCGUAAAGCUCUGUUGUCAGGGAAGAACAAGUGCCGUUCGAACAGGGCGGUACCUUGACGGUACCUGACGAGGAAGCCACGGCUAACUACGUGCCAGCAGCCGCGGUAAUACGUAGGUGGCAAGCGUUGUCCGGAAUUAUUGGGCGUAAAGCGCGCGCAGGCGGUUCCUUAAGUCUGAUGUGAAAUCUCGCGGCUCAACCGCGAGCGGCCAUUGGAAACUGGGGAACUUGAGUGCAGGAGAGGGGAGCGGAAUUCCACGUGUAGCGGUGAAAUGCGUAGAGAUGUGGAGGAACACCAGUGGCGAAGGCGGCUCUCUGGCCUGUAACUGACGCUGAGGCGCGAAAGCGUGGGGAGCGAACAGGAUUAGAUACCCUGGUAGUCCACGCCGUAAACGAUGAGUGCUAAGUGUUAGAGGGUAUCCACCCUUUA